rnacentral:rRNA from 1 species
CCUACGGGAGGCUGCAGUGGGGAAUAUUGCACAAUGGGGGAAACCCUGAUGCAGCAACGCCGCGUGAGUGAAGAAGUAUUUCGGUAUGUAAAGCUCUUUCAGCCGGGAAGAAGAUGACGGUACCUGAGUCAGAAGCCCCGGCUAACUACGUGCCAGCAGCCGCGGUAAUACGUAGGGGGCAAGCGUUAUCCGGAUUUACUGGGUGUAACGGGAGCGUAGACGGUGAGACAAGACUGAAGUGAAAGCCCGGGGCUCAACCCCGGGACUGCUUUGGAAACUGCCUGACUGGAGUGAUGGAGAGGCAGGCGGAAUUCCUAGUGUAGCGGUGAAAUGCGUAGAUAUUAGGAAGAACACCAGUGGCGAAGGCGGCUUGCUGGACAGUAACUGACGUUGAGGCUCGAAAGCGUGGGGAGCAAACAGGAUUAGAUACCCUAGUAGUC